GCCGGGAUCGCCUAGCCUGGUAGGGCGCGCGCCUGGAAAUAAUUACCAUAAAGCGCGUUCUCGCAAGGGAACGAGAGUUCGAAUCUCUCUCCCGGCGCCA
rnacentral:tRNA from 2 species